ensembl:lncRNA
GCCCUGGACAUGUAACCCAACGAAAACACAACUUUAUGGAUGCCCAACUGCACGAAAUCCGCUUACAGUAAGGAAACCGACCAUUGAUAUUUCAACCUUUAAAAAUACCAGCAGAGCAGACAGUUAAAGGACUGAAAACGUAACUUCACGAUGGCCCACUGCAUGAAAUCCGCUUAAGGCAAGCAAACUGACCAUUGAUUUUUCAACGUUUAGAAACAACCAGAGCUUUAGACACUUAACGGACGUAAGUGUAACUUUCAGAUGACUGACUGCACGAAAUCCACUUUGCACGUGUAAAGGAACGAAAACGUAAUUUUACCGAAGACGGGACUCAGGAAAUCGGCUUUGGACAGGUAACCGAAUGAAAACUGAAUUUUACCGAUGACAAACUGCAGGAAAUGGGCCCUGGACACUCUGCUUACAGUAAGGAAACCGACCAUUCAUUUUACAACCUUUAAAAAUACCAGGAGAAGCAGACAGUUAACGGGCUGAAAACGUAACUUUACGGAUGACUGACUGCACAAAAUCUGUUUUGGAUGCGUAACUGAAUGAAAACUGAAUGUUACUGUUGGCCACCUGCCCGAAAUCCACUUUGUACGUGUAAACGAAUGAAAAGGUAACUUUACCGAGGACAAGUAGCAGGGAGUCGGCUUUCAGGUAAGGGAAUGAAAACUGAACUGUACUGAUGACUCUGCACGAAAUCAGCUUUUGGACACUUAACCGAAUGAAAACGUACUUUACCGAUGACAAACUGCACCUAAUCGAGUUUGGACAAUUACCCGAAUUAAAACGUAACUUUACCGAGGGCCAACAGCACGAAAUCGGUUUUGGAAACGUAACCCAAUGAAAACUGAACGUUACUGACAGCCACCUGCAGGGUUCGACACAUACCCGAAUGAAAACUGAAUUUAAAGAUGGCCAAUUGCACGAAAUCGGCUUUGGAUACGGUCAACUUUACUGAGGGUCAACUCCAGGAAACCAGCUUUGGAGACAUAACCGAAUGAAAACGUACUUUUACCGACAACAAAGUGCACGAAAUCGGUUUAAGGUAAGGAAACCGACCAUUUGAUUUUCAACCUUUAGAAAGGCCAGGAGCUGGAGGCACUUAAGGGACUGAACACCGAACUUUACCGACGACUGACUGCAU